UUGCGGUCAUAUCACGAUGAAACACCGGUUCCCGUACGAUGACCGAAGUUAAGCAACGUCGAGUCUGGUCAGUGCCUGGAUGUGUGACAGCUUGGGAAUAACAGGUGGUGUAU